UGUUAAAAAAACAAUCUAUUUCUAUUGUUAAAAACCGGUGUAGUUGAUAGAAUAAUCAGACAAUUACACGUGAUGUGUCAAAUGUUCUCAUGCUAAUAUACAUAGACCCAUUUUAACUGUAAAAAUUGAUGGAACUUUUAAUA
rfam:Gossypium hirsutum cultivar TM-1 chromosome 7, whole genome shotgun sequence